rnacentral:rRNA from 1 species
GACGAACGCUGGCGGCGUGCUUAACACAUGCAAGUCGAACGGUAAGGCCUUUCGGGGUACACGAGUGGCGAACGGGUGAGUAACACGUGGGUGAUCUGCCCUGCACUUCGGGAUAAGCCCGGGAAACUGGGUCUAAUACCGGAUAGGACUGCGCGGUGCAUGCCGUGUGGUGGAAAGAUUUAUCGGUGCAGGAUGGGCCCGCGGCCUAUCAGCUUGUUGGUGGGGUAAUGGCCUACCAAGGCGACGACGGGUAGCCGGCCUGAGAGGGCGACCGGCCACACUGGGACUGAGACACGGCCCAGACGCGUACGGGAGGCAGCAGUGGGGAAUAUUGCACAAUGGGCGCAAGCCUGAUGCAGCGACGCCGCGUGAGGGAUGACGGCCUUCGGGUUGUAAACCUCUGUCAGCAGGGGCGAAGCGUGAGUGACGGUACCUGCAGAAGAAGCACCGGCGAACUACGUG